rnacentral:rRNA from 1 species
CGUAGGAGGCAAGCGUUAUCCGGAGUUACUGGGCGUAAAGCGCAUGUAGGCGGUUGGGCAAGUGGCGUGUGAAAGCUCCCGGCUAAACUGGGAGACGACAGGUCAGACUGCCGAACUGGAGUCCGGUAGAGGAGCGUAGAAUUCCGGGUGUAGCGGUGAAAUGUGUAGAGAUCCGGAGGAAUACCAGUGGCGCAAGCGGCGCUCUGGGUCGGGACUGACGCUGAGAUGCGAAAGCGUGGGGAGCGAACGGGAUUAGAGACCCCGGUAGUCCACGCCGUAAACGAUGCGAACUGGGUGUUCACUUUCCGACAGGAGAGGGAGUGCCGAAGCUAACGCGCUAAGUUCGCCGCCUGGGGAGUACGGUCGCAAGACUA